rnacentral:rRNA from 1 species
CCUACGGGAGGCAGCAGUGGGGAAUCUUGCGCAAUGGGCGAAAGCCUGACGCAGCAACGCCGCGUGCGGGAAGAAGGCUUUCGGGCUGUAAACCGCUUUCAGCAGGAACGAAAAUGACGGUACCUGCAGAAGAAGGAGCGGCCAACUAUGUGCCAGCAGCCGCGGUGAUACAUAGGCUUCAAGCGUUGUCCGGAUUUAUUGGGCGUAAAGAGUUCGUAGGCGGUCGAGUAAGUCGGGUGUGAAAAUUCUGGGCUCAACCCAGAGACGCCACCCGAUACUGCUUGACUUGAGUUCGAUAGGGAGUGGGGAAGUUCCUAGUGUAGCGGUGAAAUGCGCAGAUAUUAGGAGGAACACCGGUGGCGAAGGCGCCACUCUGGAUCGAUACUGACGCUGAGGAACGAAAGCAUGGGUAGCAAACAGGAUUAGAUACCCUGGUAGUCCAUGCCGUAAACGGUGGGCACUAAGGUGUGGGUUUCUAUUAACGAAAUCCGCGCCGUCGCUAACGCAUUAAGUGCCCCGCCUGGGGAGUACGGUCGCAAGACUAAAACUUAAAUGAAUUGACGG